UUGGAGAUAAAGUUAUGAUAAAUACAAGCAGACGUAUAUUCAGGUUGGAUGUCUAUAAAGAUGGCUUUUGUAUACAAAAUCCCUCUUUGUGGACACGUUUGUCUCUACAACUAAACAGUUAUUGACUCCCAGCACAGGGUUCAUAUCAAUCCCUCCGUAAGGUGGCCUCAAAGUGCUUCAAACGCUCUUAACUUCUUUUCAACAUUAAAUCAAAUCUUGUCCUUAAGGGCUUGAGUUUGAGUGUCAAACCAAUCAAGUGUUGCUUGAGACAACUAGUUCAAGCACAUUAUUUGGUUCAGUUUAUUAAUGUGAACUACAUAUGAAGCUAUAACUAUUUAGUUGUAAUUAUAAAAUUAUAGAAUGCAUUACCUUUACAUUCUCCCAAACAUCCCUUACUGCAGAUCCUUUUCGAAAUUUUCUCCAAUUUGUGAUACUCAUUGGAAAUCUCAAUUUUUCUAGUGCAAACAUCAUGAUGAACCUAAAGUAUUGUGCACAAGUCCUUCAAGGUGUUUCUUCUUGUCAUUUUGAGUAAUAUUGUACAUUCUCAAGGUUAGUUAUCACGACUCAACUUCACUAGUAAGAUGUUGUCUUCUUUUGGUCUGGCCCUCACAGUAUUUUUCAUGCCCACACAUAUAUGACACCAUGUUUUCUUCCCCGACCGAUGUGGGAUUAUUCACUGAUCUUGCCACUCCUUGUCUUGCAUUUUUCAGCCCUCACAAGUCUUACAUUAGUUACAACCCAAUUGUGCUUGUUUCAUCCCCUUGGUUUCCUUGGAUGGCAUCCCCUCAAAUUGUUGCUUGUCUCAUCUAUUAUACCUUCCACAUUAUUGUUCACAUGGUGUCCAUUGAAGCUUGAUUCAUUUUGCAAGUUGUUGUAACGCUAUGUCUAGUUGCAUAGGUGACUGUGUCUCUCCAUCCCUUCCUUGUUCAGCUAUGUAAGCUCCUGCAAGAAUUCGCUCAUUUUCCUUUUAUUUUGGGUUUUAAGGUUUGGGUAUUUGGAACACACUACACUGCAUGUUUGUAUGAACUAAACUACUUUAAAAGGUCUCUUCGGAUGAGAAGAACUGCCCUUAUUUAGAUGCUUAGCAUGGCCAUUGUCUUUGCAUUCACAAAUUUUUUUUUUCUCUUGUGUGAGUAACAAAUAAGCAUUUCUAACAUACGAUUGUGCAUUCAUAAGCAAUAUUUGCUCACGAAUAGUUGCAUAGUUAUCAUAAAGUCCCAUUAGAAACUCCAUCAAAUUAUGUCUCUCUUCUUGUUCAUAAAUGAUCUUCAUCGUGCCAAAUGUGCAAGUGUCAGUAUCAUUGUAGGAUGUUGACUCAUCUUAAUAACUCUUCAAUUUUAAAUAAGUUGGAUGCAUCAUGUAAGGAAAUCUUAUUUGACAAUGAUACAUAAGCCGUACUUUCCUACUUGAAAGCAAAAGUGGUAGUUGAUCCUGAACUAUUUUGUAAGUUUAGUGUUGACGAGGAGAAUAGUCUUGCAAAUUUGUUUUGGUGAGUCUCCACUUCACUUUUGGAGUACGUUGCCUUUGGAGAUGUCCUUAUAUUCGACAACACACAGAAAACAAAUAUGUAUGACAUGCCUCUAGAGUUUUUAUUGGUUUGAACAACCACCGGUCCACUGAAAUAUUUACUUGCGCAUUAUUGCUUGACAAGACAUUUGAAACUUACAAGUGGAUGUGCGAGAUAUUCAUGGUGUCCAUGAAAGGAAAUAAGCCAAUAUCAAUAUUGACGGAUGGUAAUGAAGUGAUACGUAAAGUCAUUGAUGAUGUGUUUCUCAUGUCUAACCAUCGGUUGUACUCAUAGCAUGUGUUUAGCCCAGGAACGCAGAGAAUAACUUGACGGACGAUCAACUGCUAAGAGAAUUUUGGGCAUGUCUUUGGGAACCAUUUGCGGUGGACAUGAUGUAUGCAAGAUGAGAAUCAUGGGCGGAAUCAUGUCUUAGAGGAAAGAUUUUUGGUGGCAUGUGCACCACUUAACGCGUGGAGUCUAUGAAAAAGUAUGUGAAGAAUCAUAAUGGCCUCACUUCAAUUUUGUAAGUUGUUUGAAUGCAUUCAGUAAGUUGCUAUGGCCAUGUUACGUCUUAGGAAUGUGACGGUGAAAGAUGGUUUCGACGCAAAGUACUCAACACAAGUCAUUAUAACCACAUUCAUGACCAACAAGCUUUCGAGAAUUACACGCGUAGGUGCUUUGUAUUGGUAUGUCAGGAGAUCAAAGUGUGUUCCGUACUCACCCAUGAUAAGGUGAUGCAUAAUUUUGGAGGUCAUGUAUACGUAUUUUGAAAAUAUCGUGAACUGCAUAGUAACUGGAGUGUGUACCACAGAGGGGUAAACGUGCAGAUAGAGUAUGGGUGUCGAAAAUUUGAAAGUGAACAAAUCCCGUGCUGCCAUCUUUUUUUAUAUAAUGAAGUGCGAGUACCUUAGUGAAAUUCCUUCAUCGUUCAUAAUAAAGAGAUUGACAAAGAGCGCCCAAAGUGAUGCUUCGAGCAACAAUAUGGGUGAAUGGAAGGAAGUUAUAGAAAUGGCGUGGUGCAGAAUUUGAAAUGUUACAUCAAAUAAAGUUUGUUUUUAUGCAUCAAAGAGUAAUUCCACAAGAAGACACACCAAGAGAGGUUCCAAAUCACUCAAAAGCAUCAAUUAGAAAGGAUGACAAAUUGAAAUUUCUUUCAUGUUUUUCUAAUUUCCAGAGCAUGCUUUCUGAUUUUUUUUAUUAAUUUUUGUUUAUUGAAUUUCUAUAGAAAAAUGAGGAAAUGGUGUUAGAAAUAUGACCUUAAAGCCAACUAAUUAUGUAAUAGUUAGAGUUAAAGACAUAUUAUGUUAAAAGACAUAUUAUGUUAUCAAUGGGCAAGAAAAGGUUGUUUUAUACAUUAAAUCAUCCUAUAUUAUCUUUCAAUAUGUAGAACAACCAUAUUCCAAGAAAUACACAAGUGGAUAUGAGAGCUGUGUAAUGAGAUUGCAAACAUAGAGACUUCUCAUCAUCCCUAAAUUCUGAAUAUCUUCCUGGUCAUAGGAACAUUGAUUAGGCGUCAAUAUUCCGCAAAGACCAGUACACGCAAUAUCGUCUCUAUAUGUAGGGAAUGACAAGGUCUCAAGUGAUUAAGUGUGGAGACACAUCGAUAUGUGUCUAGGUGCUUAUAGAAGAACAAGUACACUGAACGCGAUCCAACACAUAAGUUACAGCAUAAAAGUCUUUACUCACAUGUCGAGCUGGAACUCAUAAAUUGCAAUGGUGCAAACUAAUCCUUAGACCUGAGGCAUCAUAGAUGUUUUGUGGCUAUGUUGUUAAUCUUUGAGGGCACUAUAUGGUCAUGCUGAAUUAGGCAUAGCUUAAAGGUGCUCAUCAGGAUUCUCAAUGAAUGUACAACAAAGAAUCUCUACUUUCAGUAAAGGAGAGAGAAUACUCCAAGAUAUGAUUGAUCAAAUCUCUGCGCAGAGUAGUGGAUAAGACUUGAAAGAAGAAAUCUUCAAAUCAUCACAAGAAAAUCAUAUAAAAGGAAUGAUUCACAUUAGAAUAUUGACAAUCGGAUUCCAUGAUCUAAUAAUGUGAAUAAGGAGUAUUGACAUAAGAGAAGGAUUCAAUUGCAUGGUCAUUCCAAUUUGAAUAGGUUCUUUCACAACGUCUCAUUUAGCUCGGAUAACCGUGACUUGCUGCUAGGGGACAACUAUGGUUUGUGGAUGUCUUAAAAGGUUUCAAUUAAUCUUUAUUAAUAGGAAGAAUUAAAUUGUGGAAUUAAAUUCUUUUAUCAAAACUCACCCAAUGUUCAUAGCUACAGACAACCAAGAAAUACUAUUUGCGGGUGGUGAAAAUUCACCUAAACCAAGCACCUUUCGAAAGCACAAAUAGCAAGGUUCGAGAAUAUCACUCGGGGUGUAUAGAAUAAACGGUCGGGGUGUUGAAAGCUGGCAGCUCGGGAUUUUGCAGUUUAAACCCAAAACUUGGCAGUCGGAUUCGCAGUGACUAUAACCGAGAAGAGCUUGGCGGUCGGGGCGUUGAAGCUUGGCAGCCGGAUUGAAGCAAUCCGGGCUGCGCUCCGUCGAGGCCAGAUUUGCUGGAGGGCUUGGAAAAUGGCAGUUGGAGUUUGUGGCCGAUGCCCAGGGUUUUUGCUGCCAAGAUUUGGAGUUUGGAGCGAUCGAAACCUUGGGGUUUGAAGGUUUGAAGGGUUGAAGGGUUGAAGGUUUGGGUGUUUUCUGGCCGAGUUUUGUGGGUUAGAGUCUUGGACUCGCAGCUGCUGGAAACUUGAAGGUGGUCGGGAUGGAAGCCUAAGAUGCCGCCGGGGCUUUGAAACUAGGCAGCCCAGUUUUUGGAGCUAAGCCGGCCAGAACCCAGGACUUGAAUGCGGCCGGGCUAUGUUCAAACAUGGUUGAAGACUCGAAGACGGCUGAGUUUAGAGCUCUGGGGUCUUGCGAAAAUGCAGUCUGUUCUUUAGAUCUCUGAGGUCUUAUGAAUAUGCGGUUGGGCUGGAGGGUUUUUAGACUAAGCCUUCCUUGUAUUAUUUUAGAGUAAUGCUAUUUAGACACACAACAUUGACCACCUUAUGUGGCAACUGAUGUGUCAUGUCAUGUCAAUUAAUGAAUGCCGCCAUGUCAAUUAAAAAACAAAUUAAAAAACCCUAGCAUUCCUAGUGAGUGGCCUCAUGACAACAUUCAUUAAUUGACAUGGCAUGACACAUCAGUUGCCACAUAAGGUGGUCAGUUAAGGUGGUCAAUAUUGUGUGUCCAAAUAGCAUUACUCAUUAUUUUAUGUAUAUAUAAAUGAACGAAUAUGAAAAUGCGGCUAGGGUUUUUUAGUCUGAGCCUUCCAUAUCUUAUUAUAUAUAUAUAUAUAUAUAUAUAAAUGAACGAAUACGAAAAUGCAGUUGGGGUUUUUUUUUAUUGGGUGAGGUUGAAGGAUUUUGGGCAAUUGGAGUUUGAGAAUUUUAUUAUAUAUUAUAUGUAAUAAAAGUGAAUGGCCAUUUAAUGGAGCUCGGAGGUCCAAGCCCAUGUCACCUAUUCUAGCCCUGGAUUCUGAAAGAAUAUAUGCACACGAAGGAGGCCUCACAAGGGAAGAAAUCAAGGAUAUUGAUGAUAGUUCAGAAUAUUCCAAAACAAGAGAGAAUCAAGCAAUCAAAGUAUCUCCAUCAAUAAAAUCCCAUGGAUUUAGGGGGCCUUGAAAGGAAAGAAUUUUAAUUUGAAAGAUCUGACAUUUGGCCAUUCAAUGACUAGCCCAUGGGCCAACGAAUGCCCUAUAUCAAUUUCACCAAAUGAAGGUAGAAGAGAUAGAUGAUUAGACACACAAACCUAUUUUUCGUCUAGCACUUUUCUUUUCCUAGAUUUAGGAUUUUACUUUUCAAGCACCUAAUGUAGCGAGUCCUUCCUUUUCUUAGUGUAAGUUUAAAUUCUUGUUCAAUUUACAUUUUCUUGUCUUUUAAAUUCAAGUCUAUUUCCAUUGUUUUACUCUUCAUUGUUAUCGCAUUUUAAUUAAGUUUAAUUUAGUUUAUUGUUCUUAUCGCUUCUUGCUUUAUUUAUCGCUUUGAUAUAUUUUAUUGCACUUUAAUUCUUGUCUUUAAGUUUAAAUGCACAUUUAAUUUAAUCGCACGUUUUUCACUUAAAAACCUAAAAAUCACAAAAAUAUCCAUACGAAAGCUUAACCAUCCUGAGCCUGAGGAAGUGAAAGACCCUAGGCCAAGAGGAAGUUCCUUACUUGGCCGAUCAAUCACUUGAUCAGAAGUCAAAAGCGCAACAUAUCCAUCUACUUACAUUCCAUUGAAGCCCAAAUUCGUGGCUUGGUGGUGGCACGCCUCGCAAUCAAAAGAAGAAGGACCAAAAGUUCAUUUCGUCGGCUACCUCGGUCGAAAAGAGGGAAACAAAUACACAAACAAAGGAAAACCCAUUUAGCAAAAUCAUUAAAUAAAUAAAUAAAUAAAGCAAGAAAGUGACAAAUUUCCCAAGCACAUGCGAAGGAGAUUGAGAUUUUGAGUUUGGUUAUGAAACAAAGCAUGCAAAGCAGAUUGAGAGACCAGAGAGCAGGAGAGGAGGGGGGUUGUGGGGGUGGGGUGAGUUUGUUGUGUUAGAGCGGGCUAGUAUAACAUCAUAUGACAUUAUACGUUUAUUAUAAUUAUAUAUAUAUUAUUUAUUAAUUUAAACCUAAGUAUAUAAUAUUUUCGAGCCGGUUUGGAAGACGAGGACGGCCAUUACCAUCCCUGGCCCAAACCCACCGGGAUUUGUUUUUCGAAGAUUCCCAUACUCAUACCCGAUUUCUCAAUUAAGCUUGUUUUCAAUUGCAGAAAAUCCUUAAAUAGGUCUAUUGGUACACAUGGAAAAAAUAAAUAAAACAUGUGUACGGGAUUUAGAGAUUGUAGAGAAAAAUGGGUUAAGUGGAAAUGAGUGACUAGAGUGGAGAAUCCCUUAUAUGAGUUUCCUUCAACAUGGGGCCAGUUCCGGGCCUAUAUGUAUGUUUUCUUAACCAACGGCAAGCUUGACCAAAAAAAAAAAAAAAAACCAACGGCAUGCUUGACCAAAAAAAAAACCAACGGCAUGCGUAUUAUGACAAAGUUCCAUCCAUAUCAAUAUUGAGGAGUAUCUCUCACUCAGAAUGUCCAAAUCAUGUGUCAUUAAAGCCAAGAUGCUCACACAAUUUAGAGACCCAAUCCAAUUGAAGGAACAACGAAAUCAUAGAAGACAAAACAAUAUCUCAAGUAGGGAGAACGCUCAAUCACAAUAAUGCCAAUGCCAAGUACAUCAAAUUUGUGCACUAAAUUUGAGUUUCAAAUAACUUAAUACGUGAAGUCAUAAAUAUUUAAUUAAUCAAUGCUAAUUUAGAUUAUGAUUUAGUUAAUUUAUAUUAGGAAGAAGAUUAAAAACCUUAAUGAAUUAAUCAAAAGUUUGGCAGCUCACUCUAAACAAUCAAGCUUGCUGUUGUACGUACCAUCGUUCCCACCAUCACAAAUAAACGAAAUCUAGCCGCAUGUAUCUUAUUAUUUUUUAUUUUUUACAAUCUUCAGCCUUCAACCACUCAUCUCUCUCUCUCUCUCUCUCUCUCUCUCUCUCUCUCUCUCUCAAAUUCUCAAAUUUUGUUUUUCCUAUCUUUUGUAUAUUAUUAUUAUUAUUUUUUUGGUUAUUGAUAAUUAGUAAUUUGAUUAUAACAAAAUUUUAAUUAUAUAAUUUGAUUAUUUUUUAUAAUUUUUUGUUAAGGACUUUAUUUUAGAAGGCUUUCUUGUUGUUUUGGCAUAGGCCCUUAAAAUCUCAAAGCCACCGGCCCCUGAUGUUUGUAUCUGUAAUAAUUUUACAAUAUAGAAAAGUGAAAUCCAAGGAUUUGAUGGAGUUUCUGAUCAUGGUGAAGGAUCAUUAGCUAGCGGAGAAACACCAUUAUUGAUUGUUGAAAGGAACGGAAGAGAAGGAAAGGGGAUUUAUAGGGUAUCUGAUUCUCUUUCUAAUUGUUCUUGCUGCCCUGAGGAGAAUAUCUGUGGUUGUUAUAGUGAUGUCUUGUUUUCCUUCAAAUAUAGGGUUCUUGAAGUCUAGCUAGUCUCAAUUCAAAUUGUAGUUUGAAUUUGAAAGCUCAGUAAAUAUCUAGAAAUUACGACCUUUUGGUUGGCAACCCAGCUGAGUUGUUGUACUCUAAACUGUAAAAUUGUUACAAAUACAAAUGAAUAAUACAAAGUUUCUUGUUUUCUUCUAUUUUAUUUAUAUCGGUUAUUUGCGAUAGUGGGAACGAUCGUAGGAGUACAAAGUUAUUAGUUACUACACUCUAUUACGGCUUCACUAAAAAUUUCAUAAUUAAAUGUUAACCAAGGACAGAUGUGAAAGACUUGGUGAAAGUUUCAAGUGCUUUCAACCCUUCUUUAGGAGACUUGGCUUCCCCCAACACCUUCACAAUGGCACUACCAACAAUAACACCAUCAGCUCCCCACUCUGCUACUUGUUUCACAUGUUCAGGCUUUGAUAGCCCAAAACCAACUGCCACAGGCUUGGUUGUUGCCUCUCUAAUUUCCCUUAAAAGCCUCGGAAUUUGUUCGUUCACCGAUUCACGGGCACCGGUAACUCCCACAGUGCUCACAAGGUAUACAAAUCCUUCUGAAGCUUCAACUAUCUUCUUCAUUUGAUCUAUUGGCGUAGUGGGUGUAGUUAGUAAUGCCAACUCAACGUUAUUCUUCACAGCCUCCUUUCUCAAGCUUUUUGUCUCUUCAAAUGGAGCAUCUGGAACCACAAGACCAUGUACCCCAACGUCGCUAAUUGUGGACAUGAAGUUUUCAAUACCAUGCUUUAUAAUUGGGUUAUAGUACGAAAAUAGAACGAUUGGACAAGACAAUUGUGGUAUUACGUCCUUUAACAUUGACAUAAUAGAAUUGAAAUUGGUCCCUCUAGCUAAGGAACGAGUGGCUGAAGCCUGAAUAACUGGACCGUCUAGUAUUGGAUCAGAGUGUGGCACACCUAACUCGAUCACGUCCGCCCCACUAGAAUUGAGCACCUUCAGCGCUUGCGCCGUGGUUGAAAGGUGAGGAUCACCGGCAGUGAUGUAAGGGAUAAAUGCUACUUUGCGUUGGUUCUUCAAUUUUGUGAAAGUUUGUGAGAGAUUGUUGGUAGCGGUCAAGGUGAGAGCAGCCAUUGGUGUUAGAGGACUUUUCUUGACUGGAACGGUUGAUGCUUGGGAUAGAAGAAGAAAUGGGUUUUGAGGUUUCUUAAAUUGAAGAAAGCCAGUAGCAGUGGAUUUCAGAGAAGCAGCCAUUGACAAUAUUUUAAUGUUGUAGUGUAGUAGGAUGAAGACUUUAGGGUUUAAUAAUUUGGUGGAUGCCAAUACUUAUUUAUAAGUUCAUGUCUAAUGCAAGGGCAAGGGGCUAGGUGCUAUUCACAAAAUUUAUCCUCUCAACUUUUUUGUGGUUCUAGUGGUGAUGAGGGGUUAGGGGGUAAAACUCAAAACUUGUCAUUUUAGUUUAUCACUAUUCUGGGCUGUAGCCUAGGGAAGGUUUUGGGGAAAAAAAUAAUUAAACAUAAAAUAUAGCCUAAUAUUUUUAACUAAAAAUAAAUAAAUAAAAUAUACAAUUGUAUAUCCUACCACACAUUGGCGGACCUAUUAAGCACCUCUCUUGACUGGAAAAAACCAUUGUAGGUGCUUCAAAUUGUCCAUUUGCUCAGCAGGUGGUGGUGCACUCCAAGUGUAUAGAUGACCUUAUUUCCAUUUUCAGAAUUUAAGUAAAUGUCUUUGUCCUUUUACUUUAAUUUAUUUUUAUAUUACUCAAUUUACUUAAGUUUACAAUGUAAAUAAGGUAGUACCCCCCAUUUGUAUUCAAAUAAAAAUGCUAGAAAAUUAAAUUCCCACCAAAUCCAAAUAUGAAAAAUCAGUUUUAGUGCAAAAUACUAUUUAGGCUAAAAAUGAUGGCUCAUUAAGUCAAUAUAUAUUUCAUACUAAAAUCCCAUAAAAUCAAGUUUUCUUAUUUGUUGUGUGAGGAAUAAAAGCUGCAAAAAUUAUCUUGAUAAAAUAAUUAUUCCCAAAAACCAUUUUCAUACUUAGUCAAUAUUUUUACAUGAAACAAUUUUUCAUUUAUGACAUGAAUGCACGAAGAGACCUAAGGUCAAUGUAGAUAAAAAGCCUUAGAUAUUCAAUCCACAAAGAGUUUUUAGCCUUUCAAAAUUGCACUUCCACUAAAAAAUUCCUGGAUUUGCCAGUGCUACCAAACCCAUAGUCAUAGUCAAAGGUCUUCCAUAUUUGUAUUUGGUGUUAAAGUUUGUCCACACAUCAAUUUUAAUCAUUUUCCAUUAACGUAUCUCCAAACGAUAAGCAUUUUUCUAAAUAAAAUUCACCCUUUCGUGAAUAAUAUGGCUCUAAUUUCAUUUUUUUCUUGUAAGUAUACUUUUAUUUCUAGAAAAACUAUGGGAACUCUUAGUAAAAAAAUAAAAAUAAUUAUCAUUAGAUUUUAAACUAAUAACUUUAGCUAGCCCACCCAUUGAAAAAUUUCUGGUUCCACCCUUGAUGCCAACUCAGCAUUAUUCUUCACAGCCUCCUUUCUCAAGCUUUUUGUCUCUUCAAAUGGAGCAUCUGGAACCACAAGACCUUGUACCCCAACGUCGCUAAUUGUAGGCAUGAAGUUUUCAAUACCAUGCUUUAUAAUUGGGUUAUGGUACGAAAAUAAAACGAUUGGAAAAGAUAUAACUGUGGUGCCACGUCCUUUAACAUUGAAAUAAUAGAAUUGAAAUUGGUCCCUCUAGCUAAGGAACGAGUGGCUGAAGCCUGAAAAACUGGACCGUCUAGACUCUAGAAUUGGUACCACGUCCUUUGACAUAAUAGAAGUGAAAUUGGUCCCUCUAGCUAAGGAACGAGUGGCUGAAGCCUUAAUAACUUUACCGUCUAGUAUUGGAUCCGAGUGUGGCACACCUAACUCGAUCAUGUCCGCCCCACUAGAAUCGAGCACCUUCAGCGCUUGCGCCGUGGUUGAAAGGCCGGGAUCACCGGCAGUGAUGUAAGGGAUAAAUGCUACUUCGCGUUGAUUUUUCAAUUUUGUGAAAGUUUGAGAGAGAUUGAUGGUAGGGGUCAAGGUGAGAGCAGCCAUUGGUGUUAGAAGACUUUUCUUUACUGGAACGGUUGAUGCUUGGGAUGGAAGAAGAAAUGGAUUUUGUGGUUUCUUAAGUUGAAAAAAGCCAGUAGCAGUGAAUUUCAGAGAAGUAGCCAUUAAUGUUGUAGUACAUGAUGAAGACUUUAGGGUUGAAUAAUUUGGAGGGCUGCUUGUUAAUGUUUGAUACAAAUACAAGCCGAAAGUUAUAAGAGUUCCUUGGAAGUUUGGGACAUAGAAAAGUAGCACAGACAAGGACAUAUGAAAUUUAAAUGUGGAACAGAUUUCUUUUUCCUACAAAAAUAACGUGUAAUAUUUGGACACUGUUUCUGAGACCACCCCGAGUCAUGUCACCACGUGAGAAAACACAGUCAAAGUAGACAAUAGACAAUGAAAGAAAGAAACUACGUACAUUUUGACACAUCAGUAUGUCGUCUUGUACUGAUUAUUUGUCCAUUAUUGGUGGACAUUCAAAUUAAAUUAUUGGGAUGACAUCUAAAAAGUAAUAUAAUAUAGUGUACCCAACUAAAGCCAAGGAAAUGCAUGCCCGAUGCUAAUGCUGGCAAGAUAACAACUAUCCAUCAGUGCAGAACGCUUUUGGAAAGGAAAUAGAAGUGAUUAAGGCUGUCAAGAUGAACAGAAGAUCAUAUGAAUACUUGAAAAAACAGAGCGCUUUUGAAUUGGACAAGAUGCUUCGAUUGUGGGAUUGCUACUUGAAAAAAAAAAGAGGGCGCUUUUUGAAGCUAGUUAUCAUAUUGUUCAAUUUUUAAUAUUAAAAUCCUCAAGGUUAUGUAAUUGUCUUGAAUGAAAUAGUCCAAUAUUUCAUAACUUUUCACUUAUGUUUUUAUUUAGAAAAAAGUGAUAAUUGUAUUCAUAAAUUAAGCCCAAAGACUAUCAGCGAGAAGCGAAAAUACAAAUAUCCAUAAAAAGAUAAUACAAAUAUGGAAGCAUAGUAACCACACCGAAUAUAAUCUAAAUACAAGUCACAUAAGAUCAGAGAUAUUUCGGCAUAAAAGCCGCAUGUCUGGACAAACCAUACAACUAUAGCUUUUAAACUCUCACAAGUACAAAAAAAAACAAGUAGAGACCAGAACAAUUAAACACCCAACUCACAAGGAGUUGAUGUAAUUAUUACCAAACAACAAAACAAGAAGCACACAACAACCAAAAGCUAACAAAUCCACUAUCACUGCUUUUGCCUCCUCCACUACAACCGACGUCGCCACAUUUAAGACAGAGAAUACCACUGAGAUUACAACCAAGAGCGGAAACAAAUUUAACCACCAAGACUACAUAUCCAAGCAGCUAUGAGUAAAAAAACCAAAAUCCAAAACACAAAUAACCUCCCCCAAUAAAAAUCUCAAAUCCAGAAGAUGAGGAAGGCGAAGUAGGAGGGAGGGAAUGAGAGAGAGAGAGAGGGAGAGAGGAGGAGGAGGGCCUCCUCCUCCCUCACCCUCUGGAAAUACACAACACCUCUCAGAAAGAUGGGCUUGAGAGAGAUUUUUAGGAUUUUAAGCCCCUUCUUUUUUUUAUUGCAGAUGUUAUAAUAAUGUGAUAGAUGCAGUAUUUCAUAACCUUUUACUGCAAAUAUUUCAUAAUCUUCCAAUAUUUCUUAACUACUCUCCAAAAAAAACUUUUACUGCUGAUGCAUGUUCCAUACUAUCAUUGUUUUACACACUAGGCCAACAUUUACAUAUACUUGGCUGCUGCUACUUAUAUUCAAAAGGUGGUUCAACUAUUCACCAUGAAGCAACCUAAAUUCCAAAACACUUCACAUGGAUUUCCCACAUUUUCCCAAUUUCUAACCUACGAAACAACAACAUUUUAGGAUGUAGCAGUAUUCCAACAUCCAUUUAAAUUUCCAAGUGAGGUAAGACAUUAACGGAUCCAUUUAGAUUUCUAACAUUGCGAAGGGCUUCUAAUGCUACUACCAAAUCUCAGAAACCAGCAGCCUGCAUUGUGGAGUUAAUCUCCAAGACCGAAGUUACUUGCACCUUAUCCGUGAAAGACGCAUCUAGUUCAGCUUUCUGCAGCGCAAAACUUGUUUCAUGUUACUCCCUGAGCUUAAGUUGCUCCUCACCAAGCCUCUGUAUCUCCAUUUCAAAUUGCAAAACAUUAACGGAUUCAUUUAGAUUCCGCACGUUGCGAAGGGCUUCUAAUGCUGCUACCAUAUCUCAGAAACCAGUAGCUUGCAUUGCGGAGUUAAUCUCCCUGACCAGAGUUGCUUGCACUUAUCCGUGAAAGAUGCAUCUAGUUCAGAUUUGUGUCGCGUCAAACUUGUUUCAUGUUACUCUCUGGGCUUAAGUUGCUCAUCACCAAGUCUCUGCAUCUCCAUUUUGAAUUGCUCAUUUUUCUUCCUUUGCUCGUCAAGUGCUUCUCCCAAGGUAUGAACCUCUCUUGAAAUCCCUCUUUGCUAAAUUAUUAUCCCAUGCACAUAUGCCCAUAACACCCCAGCUCCAAAUCCUCUAAUUCAAUUUCGUUUCUCUGGGCCCAAACACCUCACAAUACACCUCAUUCAUUACUAUAUCACUCAUGUCUAUUCCUUCAUUAGUUCUUUUUUGAAUUCGUCUAUUGAAAUCAGCUUAAAAACAAAUUAAAAAAAUGCUUACAUCAGUAGCAUAAGCAGUUUUUCAAAAAUAGUGCAUCAUUGGUUGCACUCGACUAUCAAUGUCAAGCCUCGUCCACUGGUAUUUCAGUCUCUCCACCAGUGUGGGUUAGUUUGAAGAAUGUGAACCUGUCCAGUUCCUUUCGAAGCUUCUUCCUCUGUACAAUAUUUUACAGAUUAUAGGCGUCACUCAUCAUUAGCCAUGUUAUUGCAUAAUGCACAAAAGAUGGGACAGUAAUCUUGAUCAAGCCAUUUGGUUACCAAAACAAUCAAAAUUGGAUAAAUAUUAUAGGUAGUAAUCUUAACCAUCAUGUUAUAAACAACUCCCCCACACGCAUAAGUUAUGAUAUAAACUUCUAUCUGCUAUCAUAUAUUGCAAUCUUGUGAAGAGAACUACUAUCAUUACCAACCACCAUACAAAUUUAUAUCAAUGUAUAUCUAAAUAUUAUAUUUCUGGUUAGCCCAGAAUAUAGUUGGAUCGAAAAAGAAUUAAAAACAAGCCCACAACAUAGUUGGUUCAUUGCCUAUCAAAUAAUUGUGAUGCUUGGUAUAUGUUUUUAAUUACUAGUCCACUCAAAGUAGUUAUACGAGACAAUCAAAUGAGUGUAAACAUGUCAUCAAUAUCACGCCCCGAUUCAAGAAUAAAGAAUAUUCCUGAAUUAGAGUGUAAAUCAUACCAAAGUUAUAAGAAUAAAAUUUGACCACCAUGAUAUGAUGAGAAAUGAAGCCACCACUACAAGAAAAAUAGCUUUUGACAACAUGCCACUAACAACGUGUGUCUAUUUCACGUUGUGGAAGUAUACUUUUGACAACAUGCACCAAGUGCACGUUGUAGUACGCUACUUAUAACAACGUUCCUUUAAUACGCGUUGUCAAAAUGAAAUUUAGAAAAAAUUUCACAACGCAAACAUGCGUGUUGUGAUAUCUUUAAGUUCUACAACGUGCAAACCAUGUUGUCAACUUGUUUCAUUUUUUUAAAGGAAAUAUACGCAAAAAUUAUGCGGGAGAACUCCCUCUCUCUCAAAAUAUUAAAACAUUCGAAAGUUUUUUAAAACCCCUCUUUUUUCUGAAUAAUAUUUCACAGCCCCUCUUUCUUUUGCAAAUCACUCUCACACUACUAAACCUAGGGAAAAAUCCAAUAUCCCAACCUCUUUUGCUCCAUUCCAGCCAUCUCUCUCUCUCUCUCUCUCUCACUCAUGGAUCCUCUCUUUGCUCAUCAUCCACUGCCUCUGUCAUUGCCAACUUCACAGCCUCUCAAUCUCUUAUCGCCGUCAUCAAAUCCCUCAUGCUUUGCUCUCUCAUCGCGAACCGCUACUUCUUUUGUCUUAGAUCUACAAUUCUUAAGGCCAAUCCUAAUAUUUGUUGUUCUUUGCAGGUAUUGGCCUUCAUCACCGAGCCCACCAGCAUCUCUCCACCACUAACUUGCUCAGCCUCAUUUAGGAAAAAAUUGAGUGGCCUCCAGGUACAAAAUUUUAGUGCGAAGGUUUGAUUUUUGUUGGAUUGUUCAUUUGGUUUUGGUAAUAUAAUAUUUGGGUUUAUAUUACUAUUUGGAUUGUUUGGUUUUGUUCACUGUUUCGGUUUUGUUCACUUAAUAUAUAUAUUUUUAUAAUAUACAUUAAAUAGUGUGUUUAAGGCUCUUCAUGUGCUUAUGAAUGCCUUUUUUCUAUGAUAUAUAUAUAAUUUAUAUUCCCUCAAAAUUUUCUGAGUGGAUAUGCCUUCAAGGAUUAAUUUUAACUUUCAUCAGAUUCCUUCAUAUUACAGGUUUUGAUACUGGUUUUGUGCUGAUUACAUGUGUUGAUUUUGGUUCCCUUUAACAAAUGGGUAAGCUUUCAUCUUUCAAAAGCUGUCCCUUUAAUAGGGGUGAGUUUCGGAUUUUUCCUUCAACUUCUUUUGCAUUUUGUGUGUUAAUUUUGACAUAUGUUUUUGUUGGGUAUCUUGUCUUGGUUAUGAAUAAUUUCAGUUUAGGCCAGAAAACUUGAGUAAGGUUUUUCAGUGCAAACAAAUAUAAGAUCAUAAUAGUCUUCUUGUACAUACUUAUUUUCAAUUGUUUUAUGAAAAUUUCAUGUCUGGCUACAAAGCAAUUUGCAUUUUGUCUUCUAAUUUUUGCCAAUAUUGUAGCUAUGCAAUUUUGUCUUCUAACGAAAUAAUUUGCAUCAUGUAUGAUUGUGAUUAUUGUUUGGCUUAGGAAGAAGAAAAUAGAAGGAAAGGGCGCAUUAAGGGUCCUCCCGUUGGACAGAUAUUGAUGUUAACCUUUCCUGUACGUCUCUGCAUUAAACUUGCUGUAUUAUGAUAAUAUAAGUACUAUACUUUUUUUCCCUGAUAUGUUGUAUAUUACUCUCUAAACUACCAUAUCUUUGAUUGAGCCUUGAGGGGAUUGAUUGUUAAAGAUCUUUGUUCUCUGUUCUGUUAUGUAUUUUCUCUAAUUUAACUUCCUCUCUUACUAUAGUUCAUCUCAAACUUAGAGAAAGAUAAGAACAUAGUUUAGUUGGUUGGAUUGAGUUAAUGGCUAAUCAUAGGUUACUAGUUUUGCAAACUUUCUAUUCCUAAAUUUGCAAUUUCUUAACUAUUAAAAUUGUCUUGUUUGAUUUUUUUUGUUCAGAACUUCUGUGCGACCUUAAGAUGGAUAGUAUGGGUGCUUCUUGGAAUGAUAGGUGCACAUUGGUUAGAUAAUAUUCCGCAAUUGGACAAAGGGUUUGAAACACAACUAAUCAGGUUUCUUGAUAAUGCUUUACAAGGAUUUUAAAUUGUAAUUAUACUAUGCAUAGUUCAAUUUCCCUUCAUAUGGAUAAAUGUAAGUUGACAAUGAAUCUUUCUAUGGAGUUAUUUUUUGAAUGAAAACUCUUUAUUAUGGGUUACAUUAUGAUUUUUAUUUUAUCAAAGGUUAUAUUAUGAUUGGGAAGGAAGAAAAUAGUCACACUUAACUAAAGCUUGAAUUUAUGGAUCAACUCUAUUGUUAUAAGGUGAUUAUGAAAAUAAUUUUUUAUUAUUUAUAAAUAUUUAUUAUCACGACGUGCAAAGACUGUUGUUAAAAUUGAAACAACAACAUGUCUAUGAACGUUGUCAAUAAGACAUACAACAACAUGCUGAACACGUUGUUGUCCAUUGAUUCUACAAUGUGUGCACGUUGCCGUUAAUGGCAUGGACAACGAGCACUUAAAUCAACGACCACAUGCAAAGCGUGUUGUCGAAGGGCCUUGACCUUUUAACGACAUCGGCUUCCACAACAUGCGCCGUGUGUUGUCAAUACCCUUCAACAACGCCCCAUGAGCGCUGUGAAAGGACUUUUUUCUUGUAGUGCACAAAUAAUACAAAUUUAUUUAAUAAUACAAAAUUAGAGUCGCAGUAGCUCGUAGUUAAAUAUAUACUAAGAUCCUUAUCAAACGAUUUACUACUUACAAAUACUAAUUAUAAAAUUCAACAACAAAAGCCUAGUAGCUUGGUUGAAACCCGUUUCCUCAAACUUCGCAUUGAAUCUUGCACAAUCUAUUAGGGUAUGAGCAUUCUAAUGCCGAGUAGAGUACCAUCAAACCCCUCAAGGUCAGCUAUCACAGUUAAUCAAAGUGUCAUCCAUCGAACAACACAAGAUACAUAAAUUAUGCAACCAUACUAGAUAAAUAAAAUUAUAUAUGCGGUGAUGCAAUGAACUUACUCCCUUCUAAUCCCACAAAUACAUACCUUAGGGCAACAAGCCUGCAUGUCCCAUACCAUGCAUUUUAUCACUGUGGCUCUAAAUACCCUAAAAUAUGAACUAGCGCCCAUUCGUCCCCUAACCCCAUUUUAUAUUUAUGCAUUUCUCAACUUUCACUUUUCAUUAAAGGCCCUGCUCCCAUAACCUAACUAUAUUCAGGCCCUGCUUCCAUCACUUGAAUAUAUUCCACAUUUUUACCCAGCUAUAUCUAAAGCCUUCUCCCACCUCUUAGGUAUACCUCAACCCAAACACAAACUUAAAACGCAACCGUAUUUAUGAUGCAUAUGUAAUGCAGCUUAAACAUCAUUUAUCUCUGUGGAAUAAUAAUACAGAUAAUAUUUCAAGUUUAAUUACAUGAAUAAUAAUAUUCACCCAACAUCAAAUAAAAUCCACGAAGCAACAUUAAUAAUAAUAUUCAUAAAACAUCAAAUAGUAUUUCAUCGAACAUCAAAUAAUAUUCACCGAACAAAACAAUAACAAUAUUCAUAUUUAUAGUACUAUAUAUAAUCACCAAGACUAAAAGUGACAUAGCCACAUCAUCAGGAAAUCAGGAAACCUUACCUCAUGUCCAGCUAGCUAAAGUUCCAAAUUACCCUUCAGAAGUUCCCGAAUUCGUCGAAUAUACACUUUUGUUCCAAUUCUUGAACAAAUUCAAACCCAAAUUAUUAUUGAGCAGUCUUGCUCUAUUUCACCUAACACCAAUAAACCACAGCUUAACACCUUAACCUUACGCAUUUCAAAUAUUUUGCGUAAAAAUGACAAAAAUGCCCUUAGGACCAACUCGGGGUCCAAAGUGGUCAAAUCUCGUCCAAAAUAAUCUAAAACUAUGUCCUACACCAUGUCGAUACCCAAACAAGGCAAACGACACCCGUUGUCCAAAAGUCACCAUUUGGGUCCCGUGGGCCCCACAUCAAACGACACUUCAAACAACAACAGGCUUGACGCACAACCUCGGAUUAAAUCAAAACAUAUACGAUCGGACUCGGAUCGAGAAAUCAAGUCAGAUGAACUAAAACUAUGGCAUCAGAGGCUGUCAGAAUAGCCGAGCUUGGCAACGGUUACUGUUCAUCAUCUUAAAAAAAAUUCCGAAAAUUUUCCCCUUCUUUUUAAGAAUAAAACCCAGACUUAGUGAGACAAUUUGACCAACCAAAAGUUAACGAAAUUGAGCACUUGCAGUGGUUUAGAAGCUUAUUCCCUCUAGUUUCUGACCCAACAAACCAUACUCCGAACAGAGCUUAAACAAAUGAGAAACCCAACUCCAAAUUUGGGUUCGUGGCUGGUUCUCUGCAUAAAACAUAUUUUUUUUCAAACUUUUGUAGCCGUGUUUAACACAACCAACUUAACCAAAUUCGACAAAACUAAUUGUGUUUUGUUCCUUCCCAAGUUUAGUUUAAAACCCGACAAAUGGUUUCCUCAAACACUCAAAGGAUUGGGAGAAAAAUAGAGUCAAAAUGAGGCUCGCGGACUAAAAAUUUUCAAAAAAAUGUAAUUUUCCAGAUUUGGUUAUAAAUCGUUUUCAACCAUUCUAUUAUCCCCAGGCUGUUCCUAAGGCUUCUAAAACUCUUCUAAAGUUCAUAUCUAUCAUUAGAACUCAUCAAAGACUCAAAAUGAAACCAAAUUCAUAAACACCCAUACUUGAAAAAUUGCUCUAUUCCCCCCCCCCCACCCCCCCAAACCCGAAAAUGAAAAUUCAAAACUCUUCUAAUUCAAUUUCCCUAUUCACUCAUGUGACAUCAAAAUGCUCUUCAAAGGACUAGAAUCAAUUUAAACAUAGGUGAAAAAAAAACUCAUCACUCUAUAGGGCUGAUGCCCUCCAUAUUUCAGAUUCUUUGUUUUUUUUAGCCUACAAGGGUAUUUUGGUAAUUUUCACACAUAUGGUUAUUUGGUCAUUUUGGCCCAAAACUCAGAAAUGAUUUCCUACGUGUUCGUUGAGUCGACUAAUAUCAUACUACCUAAGAAUCAUAAGGGUCUCACUUCAAUUUCUUAAAUGUCCUUUGAAAAAUUCAUAAAAUAUUAUGUAAGGGCAUAUUCAUCCAACUUGAAAUUAAACACAAUUACUCCAUUAGUCUCAAUCCAAAAUCACUUGAUAAAAUACCCAUAAUCAUUCUUCACUAUAAUACUAUUUUCACUAAAAUACGAAGGUCCACCUUUAAUUUUUCGCGGUAUUACAAUCAAAUUAAUAUAAUAUUUUCUAAUUUGUUCUAUUUAUAUGUUACUAGCAUCUCGGCACACGCUUCCGCACUUGGGAGAAAAAAAUUUAAAUUUAUUUUACAAUUAAAAAAGAUAAUGGAUAGUUGUGUUCCAUAAAAAUAGGAUCCAUGAUCUAAUUUUUCUUUUAAUUUUAAUUUUUUUUAAAUAUGAAAAGUAUGAAUUUACCAUAUUAUCCUCAUUUAAUUAAUAAUUUCAAUUCUUAAUGUUUGCAUUAACCAAGGGUAUUUUUGGUAUUUUUGAAUUUUUUACCAUUCUCUACCUUUUGGUUUAUAUAUAUAGAUAAAAGUAUGCAUCUACUGUAUAUAGGAAGUAAGAAUCAUUGUAGUGCUUAUGACUCACAUAAGCAUACUAGUACUGCACAUAAACAUGUUAUACACAAACAUAGCCAUCAAUCCACAUUACUUUGAGUUAUAGGUAAAGUAGUAUGCAAUAGUUGACGAUGCAAUUGAUAGGGUGGUGUAUGUAUAUUUAUGAAUAUACAUAAUUAUCUUUUACAAGAGUCCUAUAGGACUAAAACCAGAAUUCUUAUAAGAUAAAACAUAUAACAAAGCUUGGAGAUAAAGUUAUGAUAAAUACAAGCAGAUGUAUAUUCAGGUUGGAUGUCUAUAAGGAGGGCUUUGUGUGUGUGUAUAUAUAUAUAAACAGAGGUCAUGUUAAAUAUUAGGAAGGUAUCAUAAAAUAUAACUCGUUAUUCAACUUCUUACUUGACCUUUAGUCCUAUCCCAAUAAAACACCAAUGCAUUCCAAUAAUCCUUGUGGACACGUUUGUCUCCACAACUAAACAGUUAUUGACUCCCAACAUAGGGUUCAUACC
rnacentral:lncRNA from 1 species